GAUCAAGAUGGGAAUGACCUCUCUAAAUUAUUGGGGUUGAUGUAUCAUUAUAUUUCAAUUUAGUAAAGUCUUAGUCAGGGUAAUCUAUGAGAUGGAUUUGAAAGAUUGAAAUACAAUGUGGAUGAAGCAAUCUCGAUUGACAGUUAACCUGAGACAAUCUUAGAGCAUUCAGAAUUAAAAGGAUGAAUUAUGCAGUAACCAUAUGUAUGGAUUCUAAAAUAUUUUUUUAUGAUAAUUUGACUUAUCUGAACGUUGAAAAUUAUUGC
rnacentral:lncRNA from 1 species